rnacentral:miRNA from 1 species
ACAUAACAUUCUUAUUCUCUAAAAUCUAGUCACACAUGUUUUUUUGCAUGUGUGACUAGAUUUUAGAGAAUAAGAAUGUUAU